rnacentral:tRNA from 2 species
CGCGGGGUGGAGCAGUCUGGUAGCUCGUCGGGCUCAUAACCCGAAGGUCGGAGGUUCGAAUCCUUCCCCCGCUA